GAUGAACGCUGGCGGCGUGCCUAAUACAUGCAAGUCGAGCGAACAGACGAGGAGCUUGCUCCUCUGACGUUAGCGGCGGACGGGUGAGUAACACGUGGAUAACCUACCUAUAAGACUGGGAUAACUUCGGGAAACCGGAGCUAAUACCGGAUAAUAUAUUGAACCGCAUGGUUCAAUAGUGAAAGACGGUUUUGCUGUCACUUAUAGAUGGAUCCGCGCCGCAUUAGCUAGUUGGUAAGGUAACGGCUUACCAAGGCAACGAUGCGUAGCCGUCCUGAGAGGGUGAUCGGCCACACUGGAACUGAGACACGGUCCAGACUCCUACGGGAGGCAGCAGUAGGGAAUCUUCCGCAAUGGGCGAAAGCUUGACGGAGCAACGCCGCGUGAGUGAUGAAGGUCUUCGGAUCGUAAAACUCUGUUAUUAGGGAAGAACAAAUGUGUAAGUAACUAUGCACGUCUUGACGGUACCUAAUCAGAAAGCCACGGCUAACUACGUG
rnacentral:rRNA from 1 species